UACCGCUGGUGUAUCUGUUGUGCCGCCAGGUGCAGUGCAGAGUAGCUAUGUACGGACAGGAUAAACGCUGAAAGCAUCUAAGCGUGAAACCUUCCACAAGAUGAGUUUUCUUUUAAGGGUUGUCAGAGACUAUGACGUUGAUAGGCUACAGGUCUAAAGGCAGUAAUGUCAAAGCCGAGUAGUACUAAUUACCCGUAAGCUUUAAUUUUUUUUAUUAG
rnacentral:rRNA from 1 species